UGAUACUUCGAUGCUAUGCUGUCCUAUGUAGUUAUGAAAUGUUUUAUGUCAAUUACUUCAUUGAGCUUGAGUGCAUGAAACGAGGGAUUGUACCAGACCUAUAUAGAUCUAGUUUGCUUUGUUAUUGCAGUUUUGUAAUAUGUUCCUCCUACACCGUGUAUAUUUACACUUACAUACAAAAAUGGUUCUUUAUUUCUCAAGUACUCUCAGUUCCUACCCAUCUUGUGCUUUCGGACGUGGAUCAGUUUGAUACUAUCCUUGACAUGGAAAAAGAUGAGUUGGCUCCUGAGAUAGAAGAGGAAGAAGAAGGCGAGAUAGAGUAUGUUGAAGGUGAUGAUAUCGAGAUGGGUAACAUGGAUGAUAUGGAAGAUUUUGAAGGCUUUGGUGAUGAAGAUGGUAAACAUUUCCCUUGUUUCUACUGAUUUUAAUUUUGCAUGUUAUAGAGUGCUCUGAUUUGCGAAGAUACUUCUCAUUUUUCUGUGUUCACUAGAUAAUGUAAAGAAACUUUACAUUUUCUGAAUUAUGGGCCUUGAAAUUCCAUUCUGACUUGUUUAA